UCCAGACUCCUACGGGAGGCAGCAGUGGGGAAUUUUGCGCAAUGCUCGUAAGAGUGACGCAGCGACGCCGCGUGAAUGACGAAGGCCUUCGGGUCGUAAAGUUCUUUCGACAGGGAAGAAAAUGCAUAUAAGUAACUGUGUAUGUAUUGACGGUACCUGUAUAAGCAGCCCCGGCUAACUCCGUGCCAGCAGCCGCGGUAAUACGGAGGGGGCGAGCGUUGUUCGGAGUGACUGGGCGUAAAGAGCACGUAGGCGGUGUUGUAAGUCAUUAGUCAAAGACUAGAGCUCAACUUUAGUAAGGCUAGUGAUACUAUAAUACUAGAGUAUCAGAGAGGAUUGCAGAAUUCCUGGUGUAGCGGUGAAAUGCGUAGAUAUCACGCAGAACUCCGAUUGCGAAGGCAGCAUACCGGCGCCCAACUGACGCUGAAGCACGAAAGCGUGGGUAUCGAACAGGAUUAGAUACCCCAGUA
rnacentral:rRNA from 1 species